CGUGGCAAGGCAAUCGAAGGUGCCCCUCACGGGGAUAAUCGGGAAGCCGGUGAGAAUCCGGCACAGGCCCGCUGCGGUGACCCGGGAGUCGUCGAUCACGCGCAUCCGCGCAGCCACUGGACCGUCCGGUCCGGGAAGGCGAUCGCACGGCGUCCGACCGGGAAGUCCGAAUACCGGCCUUCGAACAGCUUGCCGC
rfam:Rhodococcus pyridinivorans SB3094, complete genome.